GUGGGUGGUGCGAGUGCGCAUAAACAUGCCUAAUUUGUGAGACGACUCAAGACAGCAAGUCCGCUCGUCUUCUGGAUUGUUUCUGUCCCCCAGCAGAGUGUAAGGUAUGCGGCGUUUGGCCAGUGCUGCAGCGUAAGUUCCUGUGCUCCGACGAGAGUUCUUGUUCAGCUAUUGGUGUUGUGUUGUGGGUGGUGUGAGUGCGCAUAAACAUGCAUAAUUUGUGAGACGACUCAAGACAGCAAGUCCGCUCGUCUUCUGGAUUGUUUCUGUCCCCCUGCAGACUCGUAAGGUAUGCGGCGUAAGUUCCUGUACUCCGACGAGAGUUCUUGUUCAACUAUUGGUGUUGUGUUGUGGGUGGUGCGAGUGCGCAUAAACAUGCCUAAUUUGUGAGACGACUCAAGACAGCAAGUCCGCUCGUCUUCUGGAUUGUUUCUGUCCCCCUGCAGACUGUAAGGUAUGCGGCGUAAGUUCCUGUACUCCGACGAGAGUUCUUGUUCAACUAUUGGUGUUGUGUUGUGGGUGGUGCGAGUGCGCAUAAACAUGCCUAAUUUGUGAGACGACUCAAGACAGCAAGUCCGCUCGUCUUCUGGAUUGUUUCUGUCCCCCUGCAGACUGUAAGGUAUGCGGCGUAAGUUCCUGUACUCCGACGAGAGUUCUUGUUCAGCUAUUGGUGUUGUGUUGUGGGUGGUGCGAGUGCGCAUAAACAUGCCUAAUUUGUGAGACGACUCAAGACAGCAAGUGCGCUCUUCUUCUGGAUUGUUUCUGUCCCCCUGCAGACUGUAAGGUAUGUGGCGUAAGUUCCUGUACUCCGACGAGAGUUCUUGUUCAACUAUUGGUGUUGUGUUGUGGGUGGUGCGAGUGCGCAUAAACAUGCCUAAUUUGUGAGACGACUCAAGACAGCAAGUCCGCUCGUCUUCUGGAUUGUUUCUGUCCCCCUGCAGACUGUAAGGUAUGCGGCGUUUGGCCAGUGCUGCGGCGUAAGUUCCUGUGCUCCGACGAGAGUUCUUGUUCAGCUAUUGGUGUUGUGUUGUGGGUGGUGCGAGUGCGCAUAAACAUGCAUAAUUUGUGAGACGACUCAAGGGAGCAGGUCUGGCCAUACAUGGUAGUCAUUUGAACCUUGCAGUGCUGUUACUUCUUCUACUCCCUGUUUUUACUUUGUACACACGUGGGCAUUGUCAUGCGUGUUUUAACGUUACUUAUGCUAUAUCGUUCGUCACUGUUUGUUUUCAUAUACUCAUCUAUGCAUUUAUUUACUCAUUCUAUUUAUUUUUUCCUUACGUGUUGCUAUUUGCAGUAAUUUAUCUGCUUUGGCUAACAUCAGCAGUUUGGUGUUGUGGCUCAGUUGACGUUACAUUGUUUCCGUUUGAGUGACUUAGUCGCUUGGCGAAACCGAUAUUCUGUGCCAUUCUGCAGAGCAAGUUGCUUUUCAAGCUGUGCCAAAAUUAAUGCGAGUGCGUGCGGUCGCAGUCAGCAGCAGUACGAGAAAUUGUUUUGUCCCCGGUAUACUAGAGCACGCGCGUUGUAUUUGCUGCUUGACAAUGACAUUAACCGCUUACCUCGUAGCAUCGUCUUGGUGGCCAGCAAAGGCAUACAAUGAGGCAAAAAGGAAAGCCGGUAGCUGGUGAGCGACUUGUGCUGCUGCCAGCGGGGAUAACGUGCAUUCGACCUGGCAACGUAAACAUCACCUCGUUGCCGGGGUAUACGUCAGUGGCGGCCUUUGCGUCCCCCUCAGCAAGGCCUUGGUAUGUGACGUCUCUAACCUAGUGAAGUGCCAGAUAAAGGGCAAAAUAUCGACGUCAAAGCUCCCCCAAUGUAACGCGAUAGCGAAUAGGUGUCUCCCCGUAUGCUUUAGCACCAGGCUGAUACGUGACGUCUCAGUGGCGUUAAGGUUGUAUCGGUGGCUGUCUUUGCAUUGGUGAUAGCGCACAUACAUCCGCGUAUGCUCGCGCGGAUCUUGAGCACAUCGAGCCAAUUUGGCGCCACCCGCAGUGAAAGUUGGGCGAUGUUUUUGCUGGAAGCAGAGAGUGGCGGUGAUUACUUGUACAGCAGUGCCAUAGGCGAACCAAUGUCGAUCCAAAUAGGUUUCGAAGCGUCGGGCGAAAAGCUGUUCAGCACAAUCUGUCACUGACAACGCAAGGGUGGUUAUAAGAGCAGCGAAUAAAGCGCGACUAUAUUGAAAGGGAA
rnacentral:lncRNA from 1 species